AUGGCGGAGCUGGUGGCCACCAUGGUGGUCGGACCGCUUCUCUCCAUUGUGAAGGAGAAGGCGUCCAGCUACCUCCUUGACCAGUACAAGGUCAUGAAGGGCAUGGAGGAGCAACAUGAGAUCCUGAUGCGCAAACUGCCUGCCAUCCUCGACAUCAUCACUGACGCCGAGCAGGCGGCAGCCCACAGAGAAGGGGCAGCGGCCUGGCUCCAGGCCGUCAAGAAGGUGGCUUACGAGGCGAAUGAAGUCUUCGACGAGUUCAAGUACGAGGCACUUCGUCGUGAAGCAAAAAGGAAGGGGCACUACAAGGAGCUUGGCUUCGAUGUGGUAAAACUCUUUCCCACUCACAACCGUUUUGUGUUCCAUAACAGGAUGGGAAGAAAGCUCUGCAAGAUUGUGCAGGCCAUCGAGGUCCUUGUGACUGAAAUGAAUGCCUUUGGCUUUAAGUAUCAACAACAACCGCCGGUAUCCAGUCAAUUGCGGCGGACAGACCAUGCUAUCGCUGACCCAGAGGAAAUCAAGGAAAUCAUCAAUGAAUCCAGAGCCAAUGAUAAGACUGAAAUUGUUAGUAGACUAGUUGUGCAAGGUAACAAUGAAAGUCUCACAGUUAUUCCCAUCGUUGGAAUGGGGGGUCUGGGCAAGACCACGUUUGCACAAGUUAUCUACAAUGUACCUGAAAUUCAGAAGCACUUUGAUUUGCUGCUAUGGGUGUGCGUCUCUGACAACUUUGAUGUGGAUUCUCUGGCUACAAGAAUAGUUGAAGCAGCUCCUGAGAAGAAGGAUGAUGGCACAAAAGAAACCGCUCCCAAGAAGAAGGAUGAUGGCACAAAAGAAACCGCUCCCAAGAAGAAGAAAACACCACUGGAUAAACUUCAGGACUUGGUCAGCGGGCAAAGGUACCUCCUUGUACUGGAUGAUGUCUGGAAUAAAGAGGUUUAUAAAUGGAAACAGCUUAAGGCCCGACUUCAACAUGGUGGCAUGGGUAGUGUGGUUUUGGCAACAACUCGUGAUGGCGGAGUUGCUGAUAUUAUGCGUACUGUUGAAGCGUAUAAUCUCACAGCUUUGAAAGAUCAAUACAUAAAGGAAAUUAUCGAGACAACAGCAUUCAGCCAUUUCAAGAAGGAAGAGGAAAGGUCUGCAGAGUUGGUGAAUAUGGUUGAUAAAAUUGUGGGGAGAUGUUCUGGCUCUCCUUUAGCUGCAACGGCACUGGGCUCCAUGCUGUCUACCAAGACCAGUAAGGAAGAAUGGGAGACUGUAUUAAGCAGAAGCAGCAUUUGCACCGAGGAGAAUGGAAUCUUACCAAUACUCAAGCUCAGUUACAACGACUUGUCGUCGCGUAUGAAGCAAUGUUUUGCUUUUUGUGCAAUAUUUCCCAAAGAUCACAAGAUUGAUGUGGACAAGCUGAUCCAACUAUGGAUUGCACAUGACUUAAUCCAGGAAAAGCAAGUUCGUCUUGAAACCAUUGGCAAACAGAUUUUCAAUGAGCUGGCCUCAAGACUUCCAAGACAAAUGAAGUAUAUGACUUCCCUUCGUCACCUUUACACUCAUGGUUGUUCACGGCUUAAGUGCAUGCCCAAAGACCUCAGGAAACUCACAUCUCUUCAGACACUUACAUGCUUUAUAGCAGGUAGUGAGCCUAAUUGUAGUAAUGUUGGAGAGCUUGGAAAUUUAAACCUUGGUGGUCAACUAAAGCUACGUAAUCUGGCAAACGUGACAGAAGUGGAUGCAAAAGCAGCAAACCUUGUGAACAAGGAGCUAAGAGAAUUGAGAUUAACAUGGACCUUUAGAUGGAAUUAUUUUCAAGGUAUUACUAGCUGGCGGGAUAAUGAAGAGGAUGCAAAAGUGCUCGAGAAUCUCGAACCUCAUGAUGGACUACAUGCCAUAGGGAUACAGUCAUAUGGAGCCACCACCUUCCCAACAUGGAUGACUAUGUUGCAAAACAUUGUUGAGAUCCAUCUUUUUAGCUGUAGAAAACUAGUAUGGUUGUUAAGCGGUGAGUGUGAUACAUCGUUUGCAUUUCCAAAUCUGAAGGAGCUUAUGAUAAAAGGUCUUGUUUGUUUGGAGAGAUGGUGGGAAAAAGAUAAUGAUGGGAUGCAAGGAGAGUUGGUGAUGUUUCCUCUACUUGAGAAGCUGCAUAUUAGCGACUGUGUAAAGUUGAAAGCAUUGCCAGGACAUCCGACCUUCCCUAAACUCCAGAAUGUUCAUAUUAUGAAUUGUCCAGAGUUGACAACUAUAGCUAAAUCACCAAAGCUCGGUGUAUUGAAGAUGGAAGGACGCGAGGUAGAGUUGUUAUUGUGGGUAGCGAGACAUAUGACAUCAUUGACCAAUCUGGAACUGACUAGCAUUGAACAGAGUACAGAUACAACCUCGAUGGGGGCUGAGAAUAGUUUGAGGGAAUUGGUGAACGGCAAGGAGAAUGGAAAUGAUCAAGGCUUUCCUCUAGAAGUUUUGGUGUUAAGAGACUUUAAGUCAGGUGUAAGUGUAACAGAGCUGUGUGCAUGCUUUGUACGCCUUCAAGAGUUGUCAAUUUGGAGCUGCGAUGCGCUCGUCCACUGGCCAGAAUCAUUGUUCGAAGGAUUGGUAUCCUUGAGGAAGCUUCAGAUUGUGGACUGCAAUAAUCUGACUGGAUAUGCACAAGCUUCUGCUGAGCCAUCAACAUCAUCAGAAACCAGUCAGCUCCUGCCACGUCUAGAAUCUCUAACGAUACAGAGUUGUGGAAACUUGGUUGAGCUCUUCAACGUCCCUGCUUCUCUCAGAAAAAUGUACAUUUCUAAUUGCAAUGGGUCGCAAGCAUACUCAUCUCUCCAACAUCUCUUGAUUGCUAAAUGCCCUGGUCUGAAGACGCUCCCUGCAAGCCUGCAGCAAUGCCUUGGCAGCAUCCAGCAGGAAUACGUUGAUGCCCAUCUUUAUGGAAAUAAGCCAAGGCCUAUGCUGCUGAAGCCCAAGACAUGGAAGUAUGUCUGCAAAGAUUGA
rnacentral:rRNA from 1 species